rnacentral:piRNA from 1 species
UGGACCAUCAUGUGAUCUUAC